CCUACGGGAGACAGCAGUGGGGAAUAUUGGGCAAUGGGCGCAAGCCUGACCCAGCAACGCCGCGUGAAGGAAGAAGGCUUUCGGGUUGUAAACUUCUUUUCUCAGGGACGAAGCAAGUGACGGUACCCUAGGAAUAAGCCACUGCUAACUACGUGCCAGCAGCCGCAGUAAUACGUAGGUGGCAAGCGUUAUCCGGAUUUACUGGGUGUAAAGGCCGUGUAGGCGGGAAAGCAAGUCAGAUGUGAAAACCAUGGGCUGAACCUGUGGCCUGCAUUUGAAACUGUUUUGCUUGAGUACUGGAGAGGCAGACGGAAUUCCUAGUGUAGCGGUGAAAUGCGUAGAUAUUAGGAGGAACACCAGUGGCGAAGGCGGUCUGCUGGACAGCAACUGACGCUGAGGCGCGAAAGCGUGGGGAGCAAACAGGAUUAGAUACCCUAGUAGUC
rnacentral:rRNA from 1 species